rnacentral:lncRNA from 1 species
AAAUCACUCUUUUCUGACUCUCAGGCCAUGCAGAUGCAUCACAUGCUUCACUGUUGAGCAUGAGUCUUAAGGCAAUUAAUCAUCGUGUUCUAUUAUUUACUCAAUGAGAGUCAUUCUGUCACAUACAGCUGAGCAAGUUCUGUUUUACAUUCUAACGCAAUUUCAGGCUCCUUAGGGAGAGUGUCCUUGCCUUAUACCACCUCAUCAAGCACCUGACUGCUCCAUGGAAGAUACUCAAUAUAUGCAUAAAUUAUCUUACAGGGAAAUCUGACACACUGAUCCUUUCACUGUCUCCAUAG